CGUCAAAUCAUCAUGCCCCUUAUGACCUGGGCUACACACGUGCUACAAUGGACGGUACAAACGGUUGCGAAGUCGCGAGAUGGAGCUAAUCUGAUAAAACCGUUCUCAGUUCGGAUUGUAGGCUGCAACUCGCCUACAUGAAGCUGGAAUCGCUAGUAAUCGCGGAUCAGCAUGCCGCGGUGAAUACGUUCCCGGGCCUU
rnacentral:rRNA from 1 species